GAGUUUGAUCCUGGCUCAGAACGAACGCUGGCGGCAGGCCUAACACAUGCAAGUCGAACGCCCCGCAAGGGGAGUGGCAGACGGGUGAGUAACGCGUGGGAACAUACCCUUCGGUUCGGAAUAGCUCAGGGAAACUUGGAUUAAUACCGGAUACGUCCGUAAGGAGAAAGAUUUAUCGCCGAAGGAUUGGCCCGCGUCUGAUUAGCUUGUUGGUGAGGUAAUGGCUCACCAAGGCGACGAUCAGUAGCUGGUCUGAGAGGAUGACCAGCCACAUUGGGACUGAGACACGGCCCAAACUCCUACGGGAGGCAGCAGUGGGGAAUAUUGGACAAUGGGCGAAAGCCUGAUCCAGCCAUGCCGCGUGAGUGAUGAAGGCCUUAGGGUUGUAAAGCUCUUUUACCCGGGAAGAUAAUGACGGUACCGGGAGAAUAAGCCCCGGCUAACUUCGUGCCAGCAGCCGCGGUAAUACGAAGGGGGCUAGCGUUGUUCGGAAUUACUGGGCGUAAAGCGCACGUAGGCGGAUUUUUAAGUCAGGGGUGAAAUCCCGAGGCUCAACCUCGGAACUGCCUUUGAUACUGGGAAUCUUGAGUCCGGGAGAGGUGAGUGGAACUGCGAGUGUAG
rnacentral:rRNA from 1 species